ACAUCCAAACCGAUCAUUCUCAUCUCAUCACUGUCCAAAAUCAAAUGAUGUCGAAAUUCGUUUGCUACGCUGCCAUUAUUCUUUGCAUCUUCUCAUCGGUGGCCUCGUCUACAGAGGUCACGUGUGUGCAAAUCGAGCAAGUCCCGACGGGGCGAUCGGUCAACUCGAAGCCAGAGUGGAAAGUCAGCGUCGCCAACAAAUGUCGGUGCGCGCUCACUCUCUUGAAACUCAUGUGUCCCAAAUUUUUAUCUACCAUCCAAGUCCGACCUCCCGUCGUUUCAAUUGAUAGAGACGGCCACUGUCUCGUGCAGAGAGACCGCGGCCGUCUCGAAAUCCAUCAUGGGGAAUCCAUCGAUUUUAGGUAUGCUUGGGAUCCUAUUCAAUUUCAAGUCUUGAACUUCAACGAAACUUGCUCUUAGCCUUAGAUAUUAGAUGAACCCUAGGGUUUCUAUGCAUCAUUAUGUAUUAUGUGAUGGUUUUGUGAGAAUUAAUAAAGCUUACCUUUCGACACAUUUUAUAGGUAAAAGUGAGUUCAAACUUCAAACAUAUGCAUGCAUAAUAUAUUGCUGAAUAUAUCUAAUUCCUAUUAUUGUGAAAAACACAGCUCAAUUCGAUUAAUUUACAGUUAAUACAGUAAACACAGAAACAAUGGAGAAACUGUACAUGUUUUAGCUCGGAAAUUACAUGAAAAUAAUUACUAGGUAAAUAUUUUUUGUUUCUCAGUGAAAGAUAGUCCGAAAAUAUUCCUACAUAGAUAUGGUUGAAUUUAGCUUCAUAGCCAAAUACUACCAGAAACAGAAGCAUGCUGUUGCAUACUGCUCAAAUCUGCAAUAAGGAAAAACAGACUCCUAUGAUCACAGGCUCUAAUCGAAGAAAAGGAAGAAUCUAUAACACGAAAUCAAUGGAUACGAUGUUGUUGUCUGAUUGUCAGUUCUCAAAUCGAACGACUAAACAGGUGAUGUUGUCGGAACUCCCCUUGCCGUAGGCUUCUUCCACCAGUUUUCUUGAUGCUGCUUCAGCAUCUGCUAUGUCUUGCACGAUAUUUACAGCAUCCUG
rnacentral:lncRNA from 1 species